rnacentral:lncRNA from 1 species
UUCACAGCAAGUUCAGAAGCCACCAGUUACAUAAUGAGACAUUGGAGACAGAGACAGAGACAGAGAGAAAACAUGGGAACACAGAGAGCGAGGGAACAGAAGGAGGGUGUUGCGGGAAGAAAGAGGCCAGACGGAGCUUUCUUAUUUCCCUGUCUCUGGCGUGAUACCUUGAGAACAGGAGCUGGUUUCCUCAGGAACCCAGAGCCAGCAGGAAGGGGUCAUUGCACAUCUGGAGGAGGAGCUGGGAAAGACUAUGGGGACAUGGGGAUGAUGGCCAGUAGCCUGCUCAGCACAUAUAGGCAGAACCAGGACAUGUGGGGUGAACCAGAAGCCUGUGACACUGCUGGCCUCCUGCCCUGUGGUCUGCAGGUCGGUUUGAAGCUUCUGUGAUUGAGGAACGGCGCAAGGGUGCAGAGGACCUGCUGCGCUUCACGGUGCCCAUCCCUGCACUCAACAACAGCCCUCAGCUCAAGGAGUUUUUCCGGGGCGGAGAGGUGACUCGGCCUUCUGAGGUGUCCAGGGACUUGCAAAUCCUGCCGCCCCCUCUCAUUCCCACACCACCUUCUGAUGAGGCCCGGCUACUCCAGCCACUGCCUGCAGAAAGGAGAGGCCAGGAGGAGUUGGAGGUGCCAGUGGAUCCCCUCCCAUCCAGCCCUGCCCAGGAGGCCUUGGACCUUCUCUUCUGCUGUGACAGCACUGAAGAAGCUUCCAGCUCCCCAGCUCGAGGUCCCCUCUCUGAGGCCGAACUUGCCCUU